rnacentral:rRNA from 1 species
AUCUAUGGCCAUGCUACCCUGAACAAGCCUGAUCCUGUCUAAUCUCAGAAGCUAAGCAGGGUUGGGCCUGGUUAGUGCUUGGAUGGGAGACCACCUAGGAAGACCAGGUGCUGUAGGUG